CCCUCAGAUUAAAAGGAAUUCAUAGCUCAGCUAUGUAACCGAUUUUUUUCUAAAAAAUAAAAAUGGGGGAAAAUAUUAAGCUGAAAAUAGCACUGAAAAAGUGCAACAGCAAGACCCUGGGCGUGGUAGUUUCUUCUCUCUGCUGCUUUACAACAAAUCCGUGUUCCAGCUGCUCCAGUGAAAAUGCAGGCAGCACAUUUCUCUGCCAUUAUAGACAGCAUAUUUUAUAAGCUGUUACUACGAGGAGAAAUAUCUGCGCUUCAAAUCCAAGUAAUACAUCCCUCAAGAUAAAUGGAUAUAAAACACUCCUAAAAAGAUCAAUAACAAUGCUCCAUUAGCCACGAUGUAAUGAUGGAAGGCAGACCUCCAACCCAUUCUGCUGAGAAGCUGCCAUCCAGUACCAAAGUCAAGCUUUUAUUUCCCAAGAGAAAAAAAUGUAAAGAUGUAUGUAUCAGUAUAAGUAUCAGAUAAGCUAAGAUAGCUUUAGUAGAUAAGCAGAUACUUCAUUCCAUUUGUAUGCAUGUAUACAUGCAAAUUUAUGGCCUGUGUCAUCAAAUGGGGGAGCGAUAUAUCAGUCUUAACCAUCAUCUUUCUUUGUAUUUCUUCUUAACCAUUCCUUUCAAUGAAAGGUUACUUAUCCAAAAGCCAAACAUUCAUAGUACAUACUGUGGCCUACUUAAAAGUUAUAUUCUCUUCAGAAAGGAAAAUAUGAUCACUGGUGAUCUUGAUUGUCCUCUGAUUUCCCCAGAGCAAGAUCUGCUACAAACUUCACAGGUGUCUGUGGUAUAAUACUAGACACAGAAAGGAGACAUGCUGCUAUGUAGUAAUUUACACAUAAAUGUGACCAUUUAUAAUGUUAAAAGUUAAAUUGUGAGAAGUAUACAAUGAGAGAAGUCCAACCUAGACAGCAGAACAAGAGCCUGGGAAGAGGGAAAGCACACUAAUUUCAGGAAUAGAGUGUGGAGAUAGUUGUAAUCCAAACUCUGGCUGUAAGCUGUUGUAAAGCAAGUGCUUGUUUUACAGUACUUUGCAUUCAAAUGAUACAAAUACACAUUGUCUAGUAAAUGCAGGACAGGAAACAUUCUACUUUCUUACAAGAUAGCCAAAUUACUUUAAUAUUAUGAAUAUUCUGUACAAGAUAUAUAAUACUUCCCUGACCUCUCACAGAAGGGUAGCUACUGCUUCUUGCUCUGCUGCCUUGUUACCUCAAUCUAUCAUAAAAAAAAAUGAAAAGGAAUUUUUUCCCCAUCUUUCAGUUCACACAGUUUUGUAUUUAAGAGCUAGGCUAAAAAAAUAACAAGAUACUGGUGUUCAAGUCAGGUCCUCCAAUGAUGUAAAUGAGCUGAGUUACCUUUCCUUUUCUAGAAAUUCAACAGUAUCAGUCAGAUACAGAAAAGAACAGACACAAAAACAAAAGCAAUAACAAAAACAAAAAUAUGUAUGGUUUCUUUAAAGAUUAAUUUGUUGAUGAAGAAUGGCUGGAAAAUUAAUAGAUGUUAAGAACAUUUCCCCCUGAAUAUUUCAUGGAUUUAAACCCUGUUGACUCUUCAUGGCAGUCACCAAAUCAGACACAGCUGAAGAGCUACACAGAGGGAUAAUCUAUUACAUUGUUUUUAUGAUUCUGAAAAAUGUUAAAGCAGAGAGAAAAAUAAAAGCAGAUUAAAUAUCAGUGCUUAGGAACAGGGUAAGCACAGAAAGUUCAGUGUCAAAAAUCCAUCUUAUCCUCAAAGUAAUGUUUCAUUUCUGACACCCAACUUAAUUGCAAGUAAGGAAUAACUAUUAGACCAAAAAAUUGAAAGCUUCAAACUCAGUCCUGCUUUAUGUGAGUUGUGUGGAUCAGUUUGUCUUCAGUGUGGUGCCUUUCAAAAAGAUCCUUUUGAAAAAGUGAACUUUGGUCUUGGUGCUUUUAUAAGCAAGAUAGUGUGGCCAUAGGACAGGGAAAUGGUGAGCUCUUUAGUAGGCAAAAUAUGAUUAAAAGCUAAUUCUCAAAGUUCUGAGUUAAUAGGAAUCUGACUGUUAAUUUGUUAAUGGAAAAUAAAAAAUGAAAAGACAGUGUAAAUCUUGACAUUAAAUUUAGAUUUUACUAAGAAACAUACAUGUGUGUUUUCUUAUUCUCCAAUAAUUCAAUUAACUUUCUUUUUUUGUUCUGUAGUCAGACAAGUUUUCUGAGCAAUCCAUGCCAACCCACAUAGAAAAUUAUCUUCCUCCCCUGAUAUAUGAGUUCUAGUGAAUUUUUAUUAUUUCUGACUAAUCCUAGAAUGUUUUUUUAGUUAAACACCCACUCUUCUUUUAAAAUUGCGGAUGGUCACCAUCACAAAGAAGAAAUUUUAAAGGAUAAAAGAAUGAAAAUAUGCCCCCCUCAUUAUUCUUUGGUCAUUAACUGGACCAUGUGACAGCGACCCUAGAUGCUUCAGUUCAGUACUGUUUGGAACUGUAGCUUUAUCUGCAGCAUCCCACAGACAGACUAACUAACUAAUUAUAGAUUAAUCAGGUUGUCGAGUGUAAUCUUUUCUUAGGUUACAAAAGUCUUUCAGGGAGAAGGGCUCACUAGCGCUUUCUGAUUUUUGGUCAGUUGCUCGUUUUGAGGGUCCUUUCCCCACAUCACUAUUAUUAUCUUUUACUGUUUGAUUGGUUUUGGUUUUGAAUUUCAUGUUUCUUGUGGUAAGAGCAACAGACAUUGGCUUAGGCCCACUGUCUGGUUUGGCUGCUGGCUUAGGCUCACUGUCUGGUUUGGCUGCUGGCUUGGCUGCAGCCUGAGUGACUGGGGUAGCUGCUGAUUUAUCUGCCUGC